rnacentral:lncRNA from 1 species
AAAACACUAAUUAAAAUGGCUUCUUUUUCCCUAUCCUUUCUAGUGUUGUUCCUUGCAUCUCUCAUUCUCAUCCCUCAAGGGUUUGCUACUCGUGUUAACCCUACUGAAUAUACACGACCUACUCCUGUUUUACCACCACGUCGUGGCAGGCCACCACCAACCCCCACCCCGGUGUUACCUCCAAGAAUUUACAGGCCACCGCAUAUCCCUCCUGUGUACACACCACCAAGUGAGAAGCCUUGAUUCAUGACGUCCAUUUAAGAAAUGAGGCUUAACCACCAACCCCCACCCCGGUGUUACCUCCAAGAAUUUACAGGCCACCGCAUAUCCCUCCUGUGUACACACCACCAAGUGAGAAGCCUUGAUUCAUGACGUCCAUUUAAGAAAUGAGGCUUAUGAUCUACUAUAUAUCUAUUGAAUAAGUGGUUUUACUCCUGGUUACCAAGCUGUUUGUUUUUUAUAGUAAUGUAUUUUGCUACUUUUGAAGCUAUGAAUUGAUGUAAUAUCAAAAGACUCAAGAGUCUCAGAUAUAUUUGUCAUGAAUAUAUAAACUACUUGGGAUGAACUUUGUAAUCAAGUUUAUAUCUAAAUAAAUAUUUAUUUUCUGUCUCACCAAAUUAUUAAUAAGUCAGUGUUAUGAGUGUGCGGUAUUGAUUGGGUUGAUUGGUUUAUGAGCCUGUUUUUGAGCGUACUAUAAUAUAAGCUUGAUAUAUCUUUUGAGUGACUGAAUCUUGAUAUUCUUUUUUGGUAAACUGAAUCUUGAUAUUCUUUUUUGGUAAACUGAAUCUUGAUAAUCUUGAUAUUUUGUAUUCAAACAAAACUUAUAAUUAUAUAUUUAGAAGCGUAAACAAAACUUUUCCCUAGAUUCCACAUAGCGAAACCCAACCUCCUUUUCCUCCCCUUUCAACUCAAAGAAAGAAAAGAAUAAAUCCAAUGUAGGUAUUAUCUUCACCGCCGCACAAAAAAUCUCAAAGGCUUUAAUAAAUUCUAAAUCGUUUGGGCGUAAUUGAGAAGGGGUGAUAUUUAGGGUUUUUAGGAGGUCGGAUAAAAUCGGUUAAAGGGAUAUGAAUCUUAAAGUCCUCAUUGACCCUUGAAUAGAAAUAAAAAUAUUUAUCUGAUACUCCUUUUGGUCGAGUGAUAUAGACUAUUUCACCUGCCACACAAAGUUCCAACACGACAUCCUCUUCAUUCCCAGGUUGAAGAGAUAUACUUUUUCUAUCGGAUCUUAGAAAUAUCACUAUCACCAAUCGUGUUGAGAUCGUACUUAGGACUUCUUCAUCAACAAAGGGACUCGUCAUCUCCAUCACAAUGUCCACAGAACCUGAUAAUGAAGAUUCUAAAUCAGUUUCAAUACAAAGUGAAGAAAUGUCACCAUAAACUUUCUUAAGGAUUCGAUGAAAUUCUAUUUUCCCCAUAUGACCCUCGCAUUCUUUCAUGCAUUCGCCCCAUAGAUUACUUCUCUCAUGGGAAUUGAGGGAAAUAAAUACAUUUCCUGAAUCAUCGCACUCACGUAUUAUAAUCAUAAUAAAAUAAAUUAGUAGGGGCAAAUAGACAAAGAAGCAAUGCUUGAGAUUCGUGCUUGCAAGCAACUAGAAGAAAGCACAAAAACCUGUAUAAAGAUCUUGAAGCAAAUAAGGGUCGAGAAUAGUGAACAGAGAAACAAGGAAAGAUGGGGUUUUAUGGAAAUAAAUUCCAAACUGUUUGGAAACCAUAUCAAGCUAGAAUCAUGAUGACAAUUAAUUUCCCCGUAAAAGUCACCAUGACAAGGAGAGAGAAGGGAUAUGACAACACAUGCAUCAUUAUUACACUUAAAUUAACCCAUUGUCACAUGCUAGACUGUUCAUAAGGCAAGCGGUUGACUAAACCAAGUCAGAUGUAACUACGAUCAUUCAAGGAGAGAUAAUUCUGGGUUUUCUCUCUGAACACUUCACCACGUCGGGCCUCGUGAUCGGGGGGCUUAUAUACACCCUAGAAAAUCUUAAAACCGAGUAAUCAGUAAAUGUAUUUCUAUGUCGGGCACUUAUAAAACUAAAUGAAUACCGAGUUGCCACAUGUGAUACAAGUAGGUUCCUGGGUUGUAUGAUUCUCGGAGGGACGACGAUGUGUGUGGUCGGCGUAACGGCUAUGAGGCAGUUUCAUGAUUACAAAGACAUUACAGAAGGUAAUAAAGGAGGCGUUAGAAGGAAAUGAUGAUAAAGACAGACGUUAUAAUCAUCAUUUAAUCAAAAAAACUGAAGGGACAAUUCUUAAAUGAUAUCUGGAAGAGAGACGAAUAUAAAAAGGACUCCCUAGUAAUAAGAAAAGGACAAAAAAAAAGUAACACCUAAAUUACAGUACAUUUGUGGUCUCACCUGGCUCGCCUCAGGAAGAUUGUCCAAAAAAAUUUAUCAGGAACAAAUAUAUUUUCGGUUUAUUAUAGUACAUGAAAUGAUUAUGGAACUCAUUUUUUUAAUAUUAUUAUGUUUAUUUGAUAUUAAAUGUGUGUGAUUAAAAUGUUAUUAAGUUAAAAAGUAGAGAUAAUAAAAUUAAAAGAUAAAGAAAUAUUAAAAAGUAUAAUUAAAAUUUAAAGAAAAAAUAAUAAUAUAAAAAAUAAUAUUAUAACUGUAAAAAAAAUAAUACUAUAAAUAAAAAUAUUUUAGUUGAUAAAACUUUAAACAAAACAAACAGUAUUAUGAAAAAAUAAUAUUUUAGAUAAAAAUUAAUAAUGAUUGCUAAUUUUUUUUUAAUAUUUAGUCAUGCUAGAGUUUGAAUCGUCAUAUUUCACAACCAGCAUUAAAAGUAAAACUUAAAUCAAAAUUCACGACAGUUUGUAUCCGUUACAACUUAUAAUUUACGUUUGUGGUCUACCCGUCGCAACUUAGAACGACGGUUGGAAUGACGGACUUAUAAUUUACGUUUGUGGUCUACCCGUCACAACUUAGAAUGACGGUUGGAAUGACGGUUUUAGCAGCUGUGGUUGUUGUUGUACAUCCCGAUGGUACAUGUUUUUGCGAUAGAACAGGAACCUUCGUGACUUGCCAUCUGAGGCGGUUCUAACUGCCGUCACUUGUCAAAGUUAACCGUUGAAACUUGACAAUUUUCUUGUAGUGUUUCAACCGUCAAUAUUUAUCAAUGACCAAUAGAUGUAGAGUGAUCACAAAAAAGGUAAACUCUUAUUACAAUUUAACGAGGAAUAUAACCCUUCUGUUCUUACAAAAUACAACCAUGGAGAGUAUUGGCAUGUUUUAGCUCUAUCACACGUGCAAAAUGCUCCCAAAUUAUUUUUCUUGUAAACUCAUCAUAUGAUAAAAGAGAGUGAAUACAAAAAGAAAUUACAAAUAAAAAAGUUAGUUCUCAAUACUUUAAGUGCAGACCACACAUCCUUAACCACACUUUGAAUAUGUUUAAUCUUUAAAUUAAAAAAUAUAUAUUUUUAUUCUAUUCAAAUUGGAAGAGAGGGUUAUUAGGAUAAUAAAAUAAGACAAUAUUUUUUAGAAUUCAAUAAUUAAUAUUUUGUUGAAUUUUGUAUACUUAAGUUUUUUAAAUUUGGUUUGUUAUGUGAGGUGUAGAAUUAAGCCGUAGGCACUUAUAUGACAACAGCCUUGACCUAUCGUCAACAAUAACUGCACCUACCACUCACCAAUGCAGUAUAAAACAUGAGUAGUAUUCCUUAUGUUUUACGCACCAAGACUGAAAAACACUAGUUAAUUUAAAUGGCUUCUUUUUCCCUAUCCUUUCUAGUGUUGUUCCUUGCAUCUCUCAUUCUCAUCCCUCAAGGGUUUGCUACUCGUGUUAACCCUACUGAAUAUACACGACCUACUCCUGUUUUACCCCCACGAGUUUUCAGGCCACCACCAACCCCCACCCCGGUGUUACCUCCAAGAAUUUACAGGCCACCGCAUAUCCCUCCUGUGUACACACCACCAAGUGAGAAGCCUUGAUUCAUGACGUCCAUUUAAGAAAUGAGGCUUAACCACCAACCCCCACCCCGGUGUUACCUCCAAGAAUUUACAGGCCACCGCAUAUCCCUCCUGUGUACACACCACCAAGUGAGAAGCCUUGAUUCAUGACGUCCAUUUAAGAAAUGAGGCUUAUGAUCCACUAUAGAUCUAUUGAAUAAGUGGUUUUUCCAUGCUGUUUGUUUUUUAUAAUAAUGUAUAUUGCUACUUUUGUAGCUAUGAACUGAUGUAAGAACUAGUAUUUCAACCUCAAGACUCGAGAGUAUCAUGAUAUAUAUGUUUUUCAUGGAUAUUAAAAACUACUUGAGAUGAGCUUUGUAAUCCAGUUUAUAUAUAAAUAAAUAUUUAUUUUCUGUCACACCAAUUUAUGAAUAAGUAUGUAAGUUGUA